rnacentral:rRNA from 1 species
CCCUUGCCAGCCCGCUCAGAAACUUAAAGGAAUUGACGGGGCCCGCGACAAGCGGUGGAGCAUGUGGUUAAUUCGAUGAUACGCGAGGAACCUUACCUGGGCUCAAAUGUAUGUUGAAGUAUUCUGAAAGGGAUACUUCUUCGGACAAUAUACAAGGUGCUGCAUGGUUGUCGUCAGCUCGUGCCGUGAGGUGUCGGGUUAAGUCCCAUAACGAGCGCAACCCCUAUCAUUAGUUGCCAUCAGGUCAAGCUGGGGACUCUAAUGAAACUGCCUACGCAAGUAGUGAGGAAGGUGGGGAUGACGUCAAAUCAGCACGGCCCUUACGUCCAGGGCUACACACGUGCUACAAUGGCCGGUACAAAGGGCAGCUACCUGGUGACAGGGUGCUAAUCUCAAAAGCCGGUCUCAGUUCGGAUCGGAGUCUGCAACCCGACUCCGUGAAGCUGGAAUCGCUAGUAAUCGCGCAUCAGCCAUGGCGCGGUGAAUACGUUCCCGGGCCUU